CCUAACCGGCGCUCGGUCCCCUUAAAGGAGCAGGGACAGCAGGGACGUUGGUGUUAAGCUUGGGGUCAAGAAGCAAAGCGACCUGAGCAGAGGUUUGUUCUCAAUUGAGCCCGCAGCACUCUCGAGGUCACUCUCCCGCCACCCUCCUCACAUCACCGCACAGGAAACGAUAUUGGGCAUGGGAACUUUUGACUCAGUGAUGGUAGAAAUGAAAUCUCGUCAAACACAGGCACAAACACACAGGCAGGGCUUUAGUUGGGCCUUUGCCAAAGCCGGUAACUGGGACUUCAGCUAGGGGGAGACAACCCUGACCGAGGGACCAGG